UUUGAGGGUACAUAGAAGAUCCGAGUAGCAUCUUGGCGGGGCAAUAUCCAGGUUGCAUAGUUCUCACUUUGCAACCGUGUGUUGCAGCCAUGGCUUUACCCGUAGUUGUGUUCAUCUCUCAAUUACAUGUCUGAGUCUUCCAGUAGUAAAAGUAUUAUCACAGAUUCACAGAUCUAAAAGUACAUGUCUGAAAGACAGCUUGCUUGCUGCAGUCUCUAUAAACUGAGCUUUGUUCUUAAUAUGUCUGAACUGAAACUGUUAAGGCUAUGAUGCAUAAGCUGAGCCUGUGAGGUUACAUAUGUGUUUCUUGUGCUUAAAACACUUGUACAUCAUGCUUUAAAGGUUGUUUAAGUUUAGUGGAAAAUUACUCUUGUACAUCAUGCUUUAAAGCGGGGUUACAUAACACAAUAGACUGUGAUGAUGAUUGUAUUUUGAGGGUACAUAGAAGAUCCGAGUAGCAUCUUGGCGGGGC
rnacentral:lncRNA from 1 species